rnacentral:antisense_RNA from 1 species
UGCUAUGGCGGCUGUGCGUGGGGCACCUUCGGGUGCGCCGGGUGCCUAGAGUCCCGGUUCGCCAACCUGCGUACAGCUGCCACCCAU